UAAAAAUUGCAAUUUACAAUUUAUAACUAGUAGAACUGCAUAAUCUGAACAAUUAUAUUAAUUGAAGAUGUGUACUGGUAAUUACUAAUUAGUAUGCAACACUUAAAAAAGUGUGUCAAAAUAGGACACAAUAUGCUGUGUUGAUAUUAUAUUUUCAUAUGUUUCACCUGUAUGUAAAAUUACAUUGCAUUUUAUAGUGUUAAUGGUUACACAGAUACCACCUAAUAAUAAGGUGUAUCAUAAAUAAACAGUUACUAUUGGACAUUUGCAGCAAGAAACUAAAUUCACUUGUGUGUGUGCACUGUGGCAUUUUUCACCAGCUCUCCAAAGGCUGAUGUGCUGCUUUGCUAGCUGAUCUAUAUGACUUUUUUUCCUCUCUCUCCAUAGGCAGCAGUUGACCCAACACCAGGGUAAGGCUAUAGCCUAAGCUACCUAAUGUUAGUGUAAGCUGUUAACAGCGCACAUACUAAACCUGUCUUUUUAGGCAAGUGCCAGAAAAUGUCAUGGAAUGUUUAAUAUUAAUGAAUAUAUUAAUGAAUUUAAUAAAAAACAUUACAAGUUUGGCCUAUUAAUUGUAAUGAUUUUUCAACAGUAAUUCAAACAACAACAAAAAAUAAAUAAAGCGAGCAUAGAACACAGUAUCAACUGAGCCUUGUGAAACUCUGAAUCCAUUGCAUCACAAAAUGUUUCACUGUUUUGAAUCGCUCCAAUCGAAUCAUGUAUCGCAAAUCAUUUGGUUCAGAACGGGACUUCAAAGCACAUAUCGCGAAUCGCGAAUCUGAAUCAAAUGAUUCGCGAUACCCGCUUUGAAGUUCUCCCGUUCUAACUGGAAGAAAAUGAGAAAACGCACCGUGAGGCACCGAGAAUCGUUUUAUGCUUAAAUUGAAUCGCGAGUAAAGUGAAUAUUCGCUCCAUUGCUACAGAAACAGAAAUCACGUGAAAGAAGUGAAUUUGUUUGCCCCCUGCUGGAUAUUAUAUUACAAUGGAAAUGAAGAGGAACAUUAUUUCAUUGCUUAGAGAGUCACAGAUCCGUGGGGUAGGUCUAAAAGUUGUGGGUGAGCGUGUGUGGGAAAACAACGAAGAAAACGAAGUAAGUGUAAUCAUAAUAGCAAGUAUUCCGGGUGGCAGUGGUAAGGCUGUGAUCCCCGUUCUCGGUCACAGAGAAAUCGAAGAUCUGAAAGGUAAGAUGUUUUAUAGAAUGCGCAUUGCUUGUGCUUUUAAUUAUGUGUGAAAACCUAUGCCACAUAAAUGUUAUAAUCGCUGAAAGUAAAAUAUACACGUUAGUAAAGAACGUUACUGUGCAUUAACCUAUAGCAGCAGAACCACUUCGUAACCCACUGCAGGAAGACGACGAUCGGCAAGUAUAACAUUUUUGUUAACAAAUAUUACAAUAUUAUAUACUAUAGUAUUCGUAAUGGUAUGUGUUGUACCUCACAUAUUGUUAUUGAGUUAGCUAAUGCAGGCUUACUAGCAAAUUUUAACAUAUGGCCCGGUUUCACAGACAUGGCUCAGCCAGGACUAGGCCUUAGAUAAUCUAAAAUACGUACUUAUCUUUUUGUAAAAAUGCAUUAGAAAAUAACUUUACUGAUGUGCACCUUGAGACAAAACAAUGGCAUUUACAUAUUUUAAGAUAUGUCAAUGCAAGUUAUUUUCUGUUAUGACAUCUCAACCAUGCAUUUUAGUCUGGGUCUAGCCUUAAAGGCACAACAUGUAAGGUUUUUUUUUUAUUAUUAAAAUAUCCAAAAACCCUAGAACAGUGUUAUACAUUUUGCUCACUUGUGUUUUUAGAUUAUCAGAAAUGUUUUGAAGAACUUUUGAAAUACAGAGAAAUAAACUAUUUUAACUAGAGUAUCCUAUCGUGUCCUUGUGUCACCUGCCAAUGACGACAUGCACCCUCGAUUUUCUUGUUUUAUUUUGUAGAAAACAUGGAAACCCCAAAGACACUUUAAUAUGCUUAUGCAUUUCAUUAUACAGGUGACAAACGCACAUAAGAACUUUCAACACAGGUUAAUGUAUCUAGUAUGAUAAAAAUACAGCGCUGCUUUUCCUACAUAUGUAUGACCAGAAGAAGCGGAAGCGGUCGACUGUGGCAUAAUAAAAGCUCUGCUUCUUUCAAGCUGUGUGUUGCACUCGUCCUUCAUUAGUAAUUGCCCCAGUGGCCUUGUUUUGCUUCCAUGACUUUCAGCCCAACCUUAAUUAGUCUUUAAUACAUUAGCUCAUUCAUUAACAUGACUUCUGCCUGAGUCCCAUUGGAUGGCAUUGGCUGUAAGGAUGAAGACAAAACUCCCAUGAUUCCACACUCAAUCACUACGUUACCAAACAUCUUUGUUUGUUUUGAAUUUGUGCCCUCUAGCAGCGAAAACGUACAUAUUGUGCCUUUAAGCCUGGUUUGUGAAACUGGGGGUUCAUGUGAUUUACUUAAUUAGGUAAGGCUACAUGGUUAGUAGUUCUGCAGGAAUUUUUGUAAGGGCAGUCUUCUUUUUAGUAGAUUUAAUGCCAUGGGUGAUGAAGACGUCCCCACCCCACCCCAGUCCCACCCAGCUGUUGGUUCUAGUGAUGGAGGAAACCUUGCCCCAACUGCCUCUAUCACCCUUCAAAAACUGAAGGAAGACAAGAGGGCAUUGAUGCAACAGCGAGAUCAGCUGAGAACAGAGUUGAAUCGGCUGUUGGACUCAGUUGCUGCCCCAGCGCCUGGUCCAUCAACUGUGCCUGCCUGUCCUCAUAGCUACAAGAAACUAGGAAAGAAGAGGAUGAGGGUGACAUCCUCGUCAGAAUCUUCAACCUCCACUUACUCAUCAACCUCUUCCUCAUCUUCAUCUUCCUCGUCUUCCUCUGAGAGAAAAAAAAGAAGAAGAAGAAGAAGAAAAAGAAAAUAAAAAAAUCCAAUCAAAGAUCAUUUGGGAGAAGAAUGAGUACCCCGGAACAAGUAAUUCAUCGUUAUAAGCUUCUGCUUAAAACAUAUCAAAAACUUCGGAGCCUUCCAGAGUGCUUGAAAAAGCACAAGGUGGACAAAACCACCUUGGCAUUGUCAAGUAUCAUUGCAGAGGUAUGUAUGAGUACAGACGUAUUCAUAAUUUUAGUGUUGUUUUUACACAGCUUGCUGUCAAGUACAAGUGAUUGACCACUCCCUAUUACAUUACAAUUUUGA